rnacentral:misc_RNA from 1 species
AGGGACUAUGAAUUGACGACUGGCUGGGGGUGUGGAUUAUUUGACACCCAUUUUCCUAUAAAGGUUGGUCGCAAUGGGUGCCUGAUCGAGCAGCUUUUGCCCAGACAAAGGACUCUGUCAGCUGCCUUCAGGGAAGUCUUGAGUUUUCUCAUGUGAUACCCCCCCAAAAAAAAAAGGAAACAUUUCAUAUUUUUUUUAGAUAGAGGAUUAAACAGGAAUUUAGGGAAACAUAGAAGGUAAAUUAAUCAGGUUAGUUACAUAGGCAUUCAUAUUAAUUCCAUUUGCAUAUACGGAAAUAAAUGAAAGAACUUUUAACUCC